UGCUGCUAACGGCGGCACUAUACUAAAAUUGGAAUCGAUACAGAGAAGAUUAGCAGCCCCUGCGAAAGGAUGACACGCAAAUCCGUGAAGCUCUCCACUUUUUU